GACGAACGCUGGCGGCGUGCUUAACACAUGCAAGUCGAACGGAAAGGCCCUGCUUUUGUGGGGUGCUCGAGUGGCGAACGGGUGAGUAACCCGUGAGUAACCUGCCCUUGACUUUGGGAUAACUUCAGGAAACUGGGGCUAAUACCGGCUAGGAGCUCCUGCUGCUUGGUGGGGGUUGGAAAUUUUCGGCGGUUGGGGAUGUACUCGGGGCUUAUGAGCUUGUUGGGCGGGUAGUGGCUUAGCAAGGCAUUGGAGGGUGGCCGGCAUGGGAGGUUGGACGGCGACAUGGGGACUGAGAUACGGCCCAGACGCCAACGGGAGGCAGAAGUGGGGAAUAUUGCACAAUGGGCGGAAGCCUGAUGCAGAAACGCCGCGAGCGGGAAGAAGGCCUUGGGGUGGGAAACCGCUGUCGCCUGUGACGAAGCGUGAGUGACGGUAAUGGGUAAAUAAGCACCGGCUAACUACGUG
rnacentral:rRNA from 1 species